rnacentral:rRNA from 1 species
CCUACGGGCGGCAGCAGUGAGGAAUAUUGGUCAAUGGACGAGAGUCUGAACCAGCCAAGUAGCGUGAAGGAUGACUGCCCUAUGGGUUGUAAACUUCUUUUAUAUGGGAAUAAAAUGUUCCACGUGUGGGAUUUUGUAUGUACCAUAUGAAUAAGGAUCGGCUAACUCCGUGCCAGCAGCCGCGGUAAUACGGAGGAUCCGAGCGUUAUCCGGAUUUAUUGGGUUUAAAGGGAGCGUAGGUGGAUUGUUAAGUCAGUUGUGAAAGUUUGCGGCUCAACCGUAAAAUUGCAGUUGAAACUGGCAGUCUUGAGUACAGUAGAGGUGGGCGGAACUCGUGGUGUAGCGGUGAAAUGCUUAGAUAUCACGAAGAACUCCGAUUGCGAAGGCAGUUCACUGGACUGCAACUGACACUGAGGCUCGAAAGUGUGGGUAUCAAACAGGAUUAGAUACCCCAGUAGUC